rnacentral:snRNA from 1 species
AUACCUUUCUCGGCCUUUUGGCUAAGAUCAAGUGUAGUAUCUGUUCUUAUCAGUUUAAUAUCUGAUACGUGGGCCAUAGGUCCACACGAUAUUAAAUUAAUUUUUUAUAGUGGAGGGUCCGUCAAGGUAGCUUGCUACCUGGAUCCUCGCGCGUCGCCCAUACGUUGCACUACUGUACGGGCCUGGCGCGCACUCC